CCACCACCAAAGCAUUUGCUGUACCGCGUUGACGGAGCGAAGCGACGUCAAACCGAUAAAACAGCAGUGUAAAGUGAGCCGCAGGGCGCUUUGCGCGACAGCGCAAAGGCAGGCGGUUUCGCGUAGCGAAAGCGAAUGCUUUGGGGUGGGGUGACUGCGUACCUUUUGUAUAAUGGGUCAGCGACUUAUAUUCUGUAGCAAGGUUAACCGAAUAGGGGAGCCGGAGGGAAACCGAGUCUUAAUUGGGCGUUAAGUUGCAGGGUAUAGACCCGAAACCCGGUGAUCUAGCCAUGGGCAGGUUGAAGGUUGGGUAACACUAACUGGAGGACCGAACCGACUAAUGUUGAAAAAUUAGCGGAUGACCUGUGGCUGGGGGUGAAAGGCCAAUCAAACCGGGAGAUAGCUGGUUCUCCCCGAAAGCUAUUUAGGUAGCGCCUCGUGAAUUCAUCUCCGGGGGUAGAGCACUGUUUCGGCUAGGGGGCCAUCCCGGCUUACCAACCCGAUGCAAACUGCGAAUACCGGAGAAUGUUAUCACGGGAGACACACGGCGGGUGCUAACGUCCGUCGUGAAGAGGGAAACAACCCAGACCGCCAGCUAAGGUCCCAAAGUCAUGGUUAAGUGGGAAACGAUGUGGGAAGGCCCAGACAGCCAGGAUGUUGGCUUAGAAGCAGCCAUCAUUUAAAGAAAGCGUAAUAGCUCACUGGUCGAGUCGGCCUGCGCGGAAGAUGUAACGGGGCUAAACCAUGCACCGAAGCUGCGGCAGCGAACGUAUCACUUAAAGCGAUUCAGCGGGUUACGAUUGACGGAGCGAAGCGACGUCAAAGCGUAUACAAAGUCGAGUCGGUUUAAGGAUACGUUCGUUGGGUAGGGGAGCGUUCUGUAAGCCUGUGAAGGUGGCCUGUGAGGGUUGCUGGAGGUAUCAGAAGUGCGAAUGCUGACAUAAGUAACGAUAAAGCGGGUGAAAAGCCCGCUCGCCGGAAGACCAAGGGUUCCUGUCCAACGUUAAUCGGGGCAGGGUGAGUCGACCCCUAAGGCGAGGCCGAAAGGCGUAGUCGAUGGGAAACGGGUUAAUAUUCCCGUACUUGGUGUUACUGCGAAGGGGGGACGGAGAAGGCUAUGUUGGCCGGGCGACGGUUGUCCCGGUUUAAGCGUGUAGGCUGGUUUUCCAGGCAAAUCCGGAAAAUCAAGGCUGAGGCGUGAUGACGAGGCACUACGGUGCUGAAGCAACAAAUGCCCUGCUUCCAGGAAAAGCCUCUAAGCAUCAGGUAACAUCAAAUCGUACCCCAAACCGACACAGGUGGUCAGGUAGAGAAUACCAAGGCGCUUGAGAGAACUCGGGUGAAGGAACUAGGCAAAAUGGUGCCGUAACUUCGGGAGAAGGCACGCUGACACGUAGGUGAAGUGAUUUACUCACGGAGCUGAAGUCAGUCGAAGAUACCAGCUGGCUGCAACUGUUUAUUAAAAACACAGCACUGUGCAAACACGAAAGUGGACGUAUACGGUGUGACGCCUGCCCGGUGCCGGAAGGUUAAUUGAUGGGGUCAGCGCAAGCGAAGCUCCUGAUCGAAGCCCCGGUAAACGGCGGCCGUAACUAUAACGGUCCUAAGGUAGCGAAAUUCCUUGUCGGGUAAGUUCCGACCUGCACGAAUGGCGUAAUGAUGGCCAGGCUGUCUCCACCCGAGACUCAGUGAAAUUGAACUCGCUGUGAAGAUGCAGUGUACCCGCGGCAAGACGGAAAGACCCCGUGAACCUUUACUAUAGCUUGACACUGAACAUUGAGCCUUGAUGUGUAGGAUAGGUGGGAGGCUUUGAAGCGUGGACGCCAGUCUGCGUGGAGCCGACCUUGAAAUACCACCCUUUAAUGUUUGAUGUUCUAACGUGGACCCGUUACCCGGGUUGCGGACAGUGUCUGGUGGGUAGUUUGACUGGGGCGGUCUCCUCCUAAAGAGUAACGGAGGAGCACGAAGGUUGGCUAAUCCUGGUCGGACAUCAGGAGGUUAGUGCAAUGGCAUAAGCCAGCUUGACUGCGAGCGUGACGGCGCGAGCAGGUGCGAAAGCAGGUCAUAGUGAUCCGGUGGUUCUGAAUGGAAGGGCCAUCGCUCAACGGAUAAAAGGUACUCCGGGGAUAACAGGCUGAUACCGCCCAAGAGUUCAUAUCGACGGCGGUGUUUGGCACCUCGAUGUCGGCUCAUCACAUCCUGGGGCUGAAGUAGGUCCCAAGGGUAUGGCUGUUCGCCAUUUAAAGUGGUACGCGAGCUGGGUUUAGAACGUCGUGAGACAGUUCGGUCCCUAUCUGCCGUGGGCGCUGGAGAACUGAGGGGGGCUGCUCCUAGUACGAGAGGACCGGAGUGGACGCAUCACUGGUGUUCGGGUUGUCAUGCCAAUGGCACUGCCCGGUAGCUAAAUGCGGAAGAGAUAAGUGCUGAAAGCAUCUAAGCACGAAACUUGCCCCGAG
rnacentral:rRNA from 1 species